CUUUCUGUAUCUAAGGUAUGACCUACUCAACCUCUCUUUACAGGGUUCAGCAUCCCAACUCACUGCUGGCCGACACUCUAUAUCUUUCAGCAUCUCAACUCACUGCUGGCCGAGGCUCUAUAUCGUUCAGCAUCCCAACUCACUGCUGGCCGACACUCUAUAUCUUUCAGCAUCCCAACUCACUGCUGGCCGAGGCUCUAUAUCUUUCAGCAUCCCAACUCACUGCUGGCUGACACUCUAUAUCUUUCAGCAUCUCAACUCACUGCUGGCCGAGGCUCUAUAUCGUUCAGCAUCCCAACUCACUGCUGGCCGACACUCUAUAUCUUUCAGCAUCUCAACUCACUGCUGGCCGAGGCUCUAUAUCGUUCAGCAUCCCAACUCACUGCUGGCCGACACUCUAUAUCUUUCAGCAUCCCAACUCACUGCUGGCCGAGGCUCUAUAUCUUUCCACAGAUCCUUGCGACAUGGGGCCGUGCAUUAUCAUGCACAAGGUGAUGGUGGCGGAUGAAUGGCACGACAAUGGGCCUCGGGAUCUCGUCACUGUAUCUCUGUGAAUUUAAAUUGCCAUAGAUAAAAUGCAAUUGUGUUUGUUGUCUGUCGUCCUCACGAGGGUCUUGACCUGACCGCAGUUACGCGUCGUAACAGACUUCAGUGGGCAAACGCUCACCUUCGAAGGCCACCGGUGUGCUCUUUACGGAUGAUUCCCGGUUUAAACUGUACCGGGCAGAUGGCGGACAGCGUGUAUGGCGUCGUAUGGGCGAGCGGUUUGCUGAUGUCAACGUUACGAACAGUGUCCCGUGGAGGCGGUAUGGGUUUAUUUUAUCAAGAUUUUUUUCAUGUUAUUUGUAACUUAUUUUGUGCAUAAUGUUUCUGCCACCGUCUCUUAUGACCGAAAAGAGCUUCUAGAUAUCAGGACAGCGAUUACUCACCUUCUACUGGAAGAAUAUAACUAUUUGUUUUAAUGAGAUACCGUGACGAGAUCCUGAGGCCCAUUGUUAUGCCAUUCAUUCGCCGCCAUCACCUCAUGUUUCAGCAUGAUAAUGCACGGCCCCAUGUCCAAGGAUCUGUACACAAUUCCUGGAAUCUGAAAAUGUCCCAGUUCUUCCAUGGCCUACAUACUCACCAGACAUGUCACCCAUUGAGCAUGUUUGGGAUGUCACGCUGCAUGAGGCAAAUGGUGGUCACACCAGAUACUGACUGGUUUUCUGAUCCACAACCCUACCUUUUUUUUAAGGUAUCUGUGACCAACAGAUGCAUAUCUGUAUUCCCAGUCAUGUGAAAUCCAUAGAUUUAGGACCUAAUGAAUUUAUUUCAAUUGACUGAUUUCCUUAUAUGAACCGUAACUCAGUAAAAUCUUUGACACUUUUGCAUGUUAUAUUUCUGUUCAGUGUAUUUGAUUUUCUGUUUGAUAGUUUGGA
ensembl:lncRNA